ensembl:lncRNA
AUUUUCUCAAGGGUUCAGAGCAAGAUGGAAGGAUGGAAGGCAUAGAGGGAGGAAGAAACCACUUUCAUAGAUGGUCUGAUUCUGUCUUUACACUUGGAGCAAGAUGAGAGAUUGGAUAAAAGGCUCCCAGGAGGAGAAAGAGCUCUGGAUCAGCACACUUCUGCUCAGGUCUUGGAUGCCCUUGCUGCUAAACUUCAGCAGAAAUGUGGCCCCUGCAGAAUGACUUCCACCAACCUGGCUAUUUGCAUGGAGCCAAAUCUUUUGAGCCCACCUGAGAUGGACAGGCUCCCCAUGGUGCAGGCGACAGGGAAGGUGAUAUUACCAGCUGACUACAGUCUUCUGAGCCCAGCCAAGCUUCUUUGAUUGCAGAGCACAGCAAUGCAGCCUUCUGUGGGGAAAGUUAUGGAAUAUGGAGUCAAGCCAUCUGAUACAAAAUAAGGCAGCAGAGGACUACAAAGCAUUGUUUUCCUACUAGAGGAGUUUGUUACAGACAACACUAAAACUCUGAAUGGAGACUCAGGUAUCCUUGUCUGUUUGUCUGUCUGUCUCUCUCUCUCUUUUUUGAAAUAAUUAUAUAUGUACCAACAAAGAUAUACUCUAGAAGAAAGCUUAUAGCUGAAAAUUUAUGCAACUAAUUGUCCACAUGGUUCCCAACACGAGACAAUCCAGUCCAGUUAUCUCCUGCAUCAUGGAAUGGGGUUCAUAUCACCUGGCUUACACUACCAAAAUAUGAAUUGUUCCUCUCUCAGCCUGUCAUCCAGACACUUUAUGAUCAGUGUGGAGAGACAGUCACACUGAGGGCAGUGCAGCUGUCCUACAUUGCUAUUCUAGACUGAGAUGAAACAUUGUUUGAAGGCCCUAGUCUGUCUUCAGUGACUGAACAGAGAGAAUAUUUAUGUCCCUGUAUCCAAGCUGGAUUUACAACCAUUAAAGAUAAGUGAUACAAAAUUAUACUCUUGGUCAUUCUAUUACCGAUCACACAAGUGGAUACCUCAUAAGAGUGUUUACGUGAAUUAUUUCCAUUACAACAUUUUAUGCAAAGCCAUCUGAUAUGAAUUAAACAAUCCCACUAUUAGAACAAUGCAAAUGCCUUUCGUUCAGUGUGCAAAGUCUUCCCUUCUCUUCUAAGACUGAAUCUGUUAAAAGUGAAGCAUUUCAUUGUAUUUUCAACUGGAAUGGAGAAGAGCAAAACCUAAAACAUCAGAGGAGUAGAAGCUAAUAUUUGGAGGAAGAUAUACUCUGUAAUACAUUCUUGUAAGUACUUCUUAUUUAUAUCUUGUAAAUACAUCUUUCUCAAGACAUCCAGCUGCCAAGUAUAGCAAAGCAGUGAUGCAUGCUGUGAGAGAUUUUGAGUACAUUUAUUCUUUUAUGCCUUUAUGAUAGAUAAGAAUUAUAGUAGUUAUACAAUUUGAAAAUGCAUUUUCAGCCCUUUAUGUCUCAGAAAGACCAAUAUUGGUAUAAAGAAAUUUAAGUGAGCAGUCUACUAACUGGACCUUCCAGCUGAGCUGGGCUCUCAGCCUAGCUUGUCUCUCUAACCUGCUGCUCUUAGGAGGUCUGGAGGACACAACUCAUAUGCAUGGGAGCUGCAGAGAUCCCACGUGAGUACUUUGAAAAAACUGUCUGCUUCUUCAGACAGCUGGUUUCUGCUCUGACUUACCUUCUGGAAGAACAAAAGGCUUUAAUUGACUACAGAGACAACCUGGUGGUCCUAAACUAAACUUACCUACUAUGAGAUAACUUUACAUACUCUUGUGUGAUGCAAAGAAAAUCCUUAACUAAAGGAAGAUGUGUUAGAGCAGAUGUGUGCCACAAAAAGAGACAAACUGAAGUAAUUAAGGCUGGAAUUCAGCAUCUUAUGGCCAGUGCUGUGGAGUAAUUCCAUUUCUGGCAGACAAAUGUUUUAAUCUGUGUUAGUGUUUGUCUUCAGAAUGAUGUAUACAAUAUGGACUGGGAAGCAUAGAUGUCAAAAUUAUGAGUGACGUAGGCCAAUUUUAAAUUACUAAGCAUCCAUUUUUAUACUGAAGUGUCAAAUGCACAAGCAAUCACAGUGAAACCCAAAGAAAUGCAGGGAAAAGGUAAGCAUUUUUGUAUCAAAUUUGGAAUGUUUUUGGGAUAUUUGUUGAUAUAAGCAUUUGUAUUUGAAGAAUUUCCUUCUACUGGUUAAUGAUGCAACCUGUUCAGAGGUAGCCAGUGAAAAGCAGAAGUAAAGGAUAGAAUGGCCUUUGCACUAUUUGUCCCAAGCUAUUUACAUAUCUGAAGAGUAACUCAAUGGAAGCCAUUCAUAGAGCCUGUCAUUUGGCUCUUUAGUAUCCCAAGAACAUUAUCCCAUGAGUCCUUCAAUCUGUGAAAGAAAAGAGAAGAACAAACAGGAUCAGAGGAAGGGCUCCCUGAGGUCUUUCUGGAGAUCAGGAUCAAUAAAUCUUUAGUACAAAUCUCA